GGAGGUCUGGCUCAAGUGGUAGAGCAUCUAGCUAGCAGUCAUGAGGCCAUGAGUUCAAGCCUCAUUACCACCA
rnacentral:tRNA from 1 species